rnacentral:rRNA from 1 species
CCUACGGGUGGCAGCAGUGAGGAAUAUUGGUCAAUGGUCGGAAGACUGAACCAGCCAAGCCGCGUGCGGGAUGAAGGUACAGAGUAUCGUAAACCGCUUUUGUCCGGGAACAAAGGCAGAUACGUGUCCCCGGCUGAGUGUAUCGGAAGAAUAAGCAUCGGCUAACUCCGUGCCAGCAGCCGCGGUAAUACGGAGGAUUCGAGCGUUAUCCGGAUUUAUUGGGUUUAAAGGGUGCGGAGGCGGUCUGUUAAGUCAGCGGUUAAAUCCCGGGGCUCAACCUCGGACAUGCCGUUGAUACUGGCAGGCUAGAGUGGGAUAGAGGUAUGCGGAAUGUGUGGUGUAGCGGUGAAAUGCAUAGAGAUCGCGCAGAACACCGAUUGCGAAGGCAGCAUGCCG